CGGGUUGCCUUCUCUGCCUCUCUCUUGGUCCAGAGAUUCCGUCUCCACAGAAUACUAGGUUGAGUUGAAUUGAAUUAAAUCAUGGAUAAGAGCAUGUUAGCUGGUUUGGAAUCACUUCCAGAAGGUGGCACUGGCAGAAUCAACAGGUUUGGACCAAAAGCAAAUAAACAACUAGGUCAUAAAUCAAAGGAAGAUAGACACUGGAAA